rnacentral:tRNA from 1 species
GGGCCCGUAGCUCAGCACGGUAGAGCGCUCGACAAUAGACCGAGUGGUCGCGGGUUCAAAUCCCGCCGGGCCCG